UAUGGCCAAAUCACACUGAAACACUGGUUCCCAUACAAUCACUGCAGUUAAGCAAUGUUUCACCUGGUCAGUACUUAGAUGGGUGACCACUUGGGAAUACCAGGUACUGUAA